AGCUAAUACCGCAUAAUAGUAGUUGUUGCAUGACAACUGUUUGAAAGGUGCAAUUGCAUCACUACCAGAUGGACCUGCGUUGUAUUAGCUAGUUGGUGGGGUAACGGCUCACCAAGGCGACGAUACAUAGCCGACCUGAGAGGGUGAUCGGCCACACUGGGACUGAGACACGGCCCAG
rnacentral:rRNA from 1 species